UGGGGAAUAUUGCACAAUGGGCGCAAGCCUGAUGCAGCCAUGCCGCGUGUAUGAAGAAGGCCUUCGGGUUGUAAAGUACUUUCAGCGGGGAGGAAGGGAGUAAAGUUAAUACCUUUACUCAUUGACGUUACCCGCAGAAGAAGCACCGGCUAACUCCGUGCCAGCAGCCGCGGUAAUACGGAGGGUGCAAGCGUUAAUCGGAAUUACUGGGCGUAAAGCGCACGCAGGCGGUUUGUUAAGUCAGAUGUGAAAUCCCCGGGCUCAACCUGGGAACUGCAUUCGAAACUGGCAGGCUAGAGUCUUGUAGAGGGGGGUAGAAUUCCAGGUGUAGCGGUGAAAUGCGUAGAGAUCUGGAGGAAUACCGGUGGCGAAGGCGGCCCCCUGGACAAAGACUGACGCUCAGGUGCGAAAGCGUGGGGAGCAAACAGG
rnacentral:rRNA from 1 species